UGCCAGCCGCCGCGGUAAUACGAAGGGUGCUAGCGUUGUUCGGAAUUACUGGGCGUAAAGAGCAUGUAGGCGGAUGAAUUAGUCAGAGGUGAAAGCCCCGAGCUCAACUUGGGAACUGCCUUUGAUACUGUUUAUCUAGAGUCCGAGAGAGGUUAGUGGAAUUCCCAGUGUAGCGGUGAAAUGCGUAGAUAUUGGGAGGAACACCGAUAACGAAGGCGGCCACCUGGACCGGUUCUGACGCUGAGGCGCGAAAGUGAGAGGAGCAAACAGGAUUAGAUA
rnacentral:rRNA from 1 species